UACUAUACUAUCAAUAGUACCAAAUCCUUGGUACUAUUGAGUUUUCGGCUGUUGGAUAAAAGAAUGUGUGGUUAGGAUGAUAGUGGUCCCCUAGGGUUGAGUGGGUGGUUGGUUUAAUAGUAUAAUCUAACGGGUGAAAAUGAUCAAAUGAUAGAUCUAACGGUAGAAAACUCAAUAGUAUCAAGAGCUUGAUACUAUCAAUAGUAUAGAAGCCGGACUCAUAUAUAUAUAUAAAAGUAAGAAUAUACAAAAUUUAUAUAAAAU
rnacentral:lncRNA from 1 species